rfam:Otolemur garnettii contig059568, whole genome shotgun sequence.
GCUAGACUCAAUGGCACACGCCUGUAGUCCCAUAUUCUGGAGGUUGAGACAGGAGGAUUGCUUGAGUCCAGGAGUUCUGAGUUAUAGUGUGCUAUGCCGACCAGGUGUCCACAGCAAGUUUGGAACAAUAUGGUGACCUCCUGGGAGCAGGGGGCCACCAGGUUGCCUAAGGAGGGGUGGACCUGCCCAGGUCAGAAAUGGAGCAGGUCAAAACUCCCGUGCUGAUCAGUAGGAUCACGUCUGUGAAUAGCCAUUGCACUCCAGCCUGGGCAACAUAGUGAGACUCCAUCUCUU